GAACUGAAACAUCUAAGUACCCGGAGGAAGAGAAAUCAAACGAGAUGCCCACAGUAGCGGCGAGCGAAGAGGGCAGAGCCCAAACCGAGAAGCUCCGGCUUUUCGGGGUUGAGGACCGGCAGAAUCGAAGUCAGGCCUAGUUGAAUUACCUGGAAAGGUAAGCGAGAGAGGGUAAAAGCCCCGUAGACGAAAGGCAGAGCAGAGAGGCCGAGAUCCAGAGUACCACGAAGCACGAGGAAUUUUGUGGGAAGCAGGGGGGACCACCCUCCAAGGCUAAAAACUACUUGGCGACCGAUAGCGCAUAGUACCGUGAGGGAAAGGUGAAAAGAACCCCGGGAGGGGAGUGAAAUAGUACCUGAAACCGUAUGUCUACAAGCAGUCGAAGCGAAAGCGACGGCGUGCCUAUUGAAGAAUGAACCAACGAGUUAUCUGCACUAGCGAGGUUAAGUGGAAGACACGGAGCCGCAGCGAAAGCGAGUCUUAAGAGGGCGCUAGUUAGUGUAGGUAGACCCGAAACCGCAGUGAUCUACCCAUGUCCAGGUUGAAGCGCAGGUAAAAUUGCGUGGAGGACCGAACCGGUGAGCGUUGAAAAGCUUUCGGAUGAGAUGUGGGUAGGGGUGAAAUUCCAAUCGAACGCGGAGAUAGCUGGUUCUCCCCGAAAUAGCUUUAGGGCUAGCCUGAGGUAGUAAGUAUAGGCGGUAGAGCACUGAUCGGGCUAGGGGCCGUAAAGGUUACCGAACCCUGUCAAACUCCGAAUGGAUAUACUGUAGAGCCUUGGAGUCAGACUACGAGUGAUAAGAUCCGUGGUCAAAAGGGAAACAGCCCAGACCACCAGCUAAGGUCCCCAAUGUCGUACUAAGUGGAAAAGGAUGUGGGGUUUCAUAAACAACCAGGAUGUUGGCUCAGAAGCAGCCACCAUUUAAAGAGUGCGUAAUAGCUCACUGGUCGAGAGACCCUGCGCCGAAGAUUCCCGGGGCUAAAGUACGAAACCGAAGCUGUGGCUGUAUACGUAAAGUAUACGGGGUAGGGGAGCGUUCCCAUAGGGUAGAAGUCGAACUGGAAGGUUCGGUGGACUUGUGGGAAGUGAGAAUGUUGGUAUGAGUAGCGAAAAGAAAGGUGAGAAUCCUUUCCACCGAAAGCAUAAGGAUUCCUGAGCAACGAUCGUCGUCUCAGGGUAAGUCGGGACCUAAUCCGAGGCAGAGAGCGUAGGAGAUGGACAACUGGUUGAUAUUCCAGUACCGGUAGUAAUUGUUUGAGCAAUGGAGUGACACAGAAGGGCAGGCAAGCAUGCGAAUGGAAGAGCAUGUGUAAGCGUGUAGGGUGGUGCAUAGGCAAAUCCGUGCACUGAAAGCCUGAGGCGUGAUGCGGAGUGAGCAGAGAUGCGAGCGAAGUUGUUGACCCCACACUGUCGAGAAAAGCUUCUAGUGAGAGAGCUACCGCCCGUACCGUAAACCGACACAGGUAUGCGGGGAGAGAAUCCUAAGGUGCGCGGGAGAACCCUCGUUAAGGAACUCGGCAAAAUGUACCCGUAACUUCGGGAUAAGGGUAGCCACUGUUGUGAAGUCCCACGCGGAUGGAGCAUAGAGUGGUCGCAGAGAAGAGGCCCAAGCGACUGUUUACCAUAAACACAGGUGCCUGCUAAAGCGAAAGCUGACGUAUAGGUGCUGACACCUGCCCAGUGCCGGAAGGUUAAGGAAGGAUGUUCGGAUUAGUCCAAAGCAUUCGACUGAAGCCCCGGUGAACGGCGGCCGUAACUAUAACGGUCCUAAGGUAGCGAAAUUCCUUGUCGGGUAAGUUCCGACCCGCACGAAAGGUGUAACGAUUUGGGCACUGUCUCAACGAGGGACCCGGUGAAAUUGAAAUACCUGUGAAGAUGCAGGUUACCCGCGACUGGACAGAAAGACCCCAUGGAGCUUUACUGUAACCUGACAUUGGGUUUUGAUACAUUACGUACAGGAUAGGUGGGAGGCAUGGAAAGCUGGACGCUAGUCUGGCUGGAGCCGACGUUGGGAUACCACCCUUGAUGUAUUGAAAUUCUAACCGCGAGAGUAACGAAAUCCGGGACAGUGUCAGGCGGGCAGUUUGACUGGGGCGGUCGCCUC
rnacentral:rRNA from 1 species